rnacentral:rRNA from 1 species
UACGUAGGGUCCUAGCGUUGUCCGGAUUUAUUGGGCGUAAAGAGCUCGUAGGCGGUUGGCAAGUCGGAUGUGAAAUCUCCACGCUUAACGUGGAGGGGCCAUUCGAAACUGCCGUGACUCGAGUCCGGUAGGGAGUGUGGAAUUCCCGGUGUAGCGGUGAAAUGCGCAGAUAUCGGGAAGAACACCCGUGGCGAAGGCGGCUCUCUCGGGACGGUACUGGACGCUGAGACGCGAAAGCGUGGGA